UUUGCACUUUCAGAAUUCAAUUGGAGGGCAAGUCUGGUGCCAGCAGCCGCGGUAAUUCCAGCUCCAAUAGCGUAUAUUAAAAUUGUUGCAGUUAAAAAGCUCGUAGUUGAAUUUCUGCUGCAUCGUCGCAUCUCUUGCUGAGUGCUUCGUUUCGGCUUAUUUCGGAUUGAUUUUUUCUUUCCGGAUGAUUACUUUGAGAAAAUUAGAGUGCUCAAAGCAGGCUUUUGCCUUGAAUAGUUUAGCAUGGAAUAAUAAAGUAGGACUUUGGUUCUAUUUUGUUGGUUUUAGGUACCAAAGUAAUGGUUAAUAGGAACAGUUGGGGGCAUUCGUAUUUAACUGUCAGAGGUGAAAUUCUUAGAUUUGUUAAAGACGAACUACUGCGAAAGCAUUUGCCAAGGAUGUUUUCAUUAAUCAAGAACGAAAGUUAGGGGAUCGAAGACGAUCAGAUACCGUCGUAGUCCUAACCAUAAACUAA
rnacentral:rRNA from 1 species